rnacentral:rRNA from 1 species
CGGAGGAAAAGAAACCAACAGGGAUUGCCUCAGUAACGGCGAGUGAAGCGGCAAAAGCUCAAAUUUGAAAUCUAGCACCUUCGGUGUUCGAGUUGUAAUUUGAAGAUGGUAACCUUGGGUUUGGCUCUUGUCUAUGUUCCUUGGAACAGGACGUCAUAGAGGGUGAGAAUCCCGUCUGAUGAGAUGCCCAUUCCUAUGUAAGGUGCUAUUGAAGAGUCGAGUUGUUUGGGAAUGCAGCUCUAAGUGGGUGGUAAAUUCCAUCUAAAGCUAAAUAUUGGCGAGAGACCGAUAGCGAACAAGUACAGUGAUGGAAAGAUGAAAAGAACUUUGAAAAGAGAGUGAAAAAGUACGUGAAAUUGUUGAAAGGGAAGGGCAUUAGAUCAGACUUGGUGUUUUACGAUUAUCUUCUCUUCUUGAGUUGUGCACUCGUAUUUCACUGGGCCAGCAUCGAUUCGGAUGGCAAGAUAAUGGCAGUUGAAUGUGGCUUCACUUCGGUGGAGUGUUAUAGCUUCUGCUGAUAUUGCCUGUCUGGAUCGAGGGCUGCGUC